rnacentral:rRNA from 1 species
UGCAGAAUCCCGUGAACCAUCAAGUCUUUGAACGCAAGUUGCGCCCGAAGCCAUCAGGCCGAGGGCACGUCUGCCUGGGCGUCACGC